UAAGAAUACAAAUGAAUUUUAACAUUACAGAAAUCAAAACAUUAUUCUGGCAGCUCUGUACAUAUAUUUACAAAUGAUUUUCCAAGUUAGAAUUUUUGAAAAUUAUUUGUUGAGAAGGGCAGAAACCUCCAAAUUUAAUAUCUGGACAACUGGACUGACCAGUUUAAUCACAGGUAUAAUAAUAAGGAUGAGCACCCUUCAAUAUGUUUGACUGACACUGCGUUCCAGUUUAAGAUGGUGCUGAUGAAGCCCAAUGACUGCUUACUGGUGGCAACUGAACACUAUUAAUAAAACUUCUUGGAAAAUCUACAGUAAAUGAUCACUGCAAACAAAUGGCGAGCAGAGGCAAGGAUGAGUUGAAGGUUGAAACGUACGUGUGCAAGGCAGUCGAGAGAGUCAAGACAAAGUGAGGCAGAUUCGAGGCCCAUCCACCAAAACCGAAAGCGAGGUUUGACCAACCUAAGUGCCAGGCCAAUUUGAAAAGGUUGUGUACGGGCUGAAAUGUGGCAGCUGGAUCCAGGCCCAGAGUGUACCAGGAAAUGGGUCCCAGUGCAUAGAACAACCUGAUGUUUGGACAAUUUAAAUGCUGGGCCAGAUGGAUUGAAAAGGAAAGGUGUCAAGACCAGAGGCUUGGGUCAGGUCACCUGCUCUGAAUUACAUGCAAAUGGACUCCUUUGUUCCAAAUGUCAUUUGCUUACUUUUAUUGUUGGCAUGAUUUGUUUUGUUCUCUCUGCACAUAGGGUGUUUGCAUUUUUUUUAAAUAGGUUCUUUUGGGUUUCUUUUUUUGUGGCUGCCUAAAGGAGAUUAAUCUCAAGGUGUAUGAUGUAUACGUACCUCGAUAAUAAAUGUACUUUGAACUUCGAAAAAAGGGGAAAAAAAUCAGAAUUAUUGCACAUGUAUCAAAUUACUUUAUAUGGAAGUAUAUACAUUGAUUAUAUUUUGAUAAACUUAUUAGGAUUACAUGAAAUACCAAAUAAUCAACAAUAAGUCUAAAUGAGAUUCAUAAAAUCAAAAACUGUACCAUACAAUUUGAAGUUAAAUUAAUUGAAAAACAUUUCAACCACACUCAAUUUAAAACACUAACCAUUUCCUAGUACAAUUUAGGACUUAAACCUACGGUUAGCAACUCAGUACAGGUGUCCACUGUUUUUCAAACAUUCGCUUUACGACACCUUGCUGUUACGAUAGACCUACAUUAGUUACCUGUUUUCGCUAAUAGGUGUUUUCACUAUUACAAAAAAAGGCAGUGCACCCCAAGCAGCCAAGUUCCUCCCCCAGAACUACAUUCUAACUGGUAUUGCUUAAACACGUGCCUGUGAGUAUCAGUGCUUUAUGUCGAUUUAUUUUGUGCAUCCGUUAGCAAGAUGAGUUCUAAGGUAUCGGAAAAGCCUAAAAGAGCGCGUAAGGGUAUUACACAGCGUAAAACUAGACAUAAUAAAGCGUUUUGAUCGUGGUGAACAAAGUAAGGAUAUAGUGAGUUUGGCUGAGGGUUUGUGAAAGUGAUGAAGAUGAUGUUGAAGUAGUUUUGGCAUCCCAUGACCAAGAACUGACAGAUGAAGAGCUGAUGAAGAGGAAAGGAUAACAAUUGAAGCAGAUCGCAAUAGCAAACAGCCCGAAAGUGAAGUUGUUCAGGAAAUGAACGUGAAGCAAUUGCAUGAGAUUUUCACUGUGAUUGACAGCACUGCAAUGAUUGCAGAAAAGUAUGACUUUAAUUUUGAAAGGGUAUGUAGGUUUAGGGCAUACUUGCAGGAUGGUUUGAAUGCUUACCAAGAACUGUAUGAUAGAAAAAUGCGCGAGGCUAAACAGUCAAGCAUACUGUCGUUUUUUUAAGCUUUCCACAUCAGCCACAGCAGACGACAAACCUCAACCUUCGACAUCCAGGCAGACAGACAAAGGUGAUCUGCCUGCCCUGAUGGAAACAGACAACGAUGAGAUGACACCCCAGUCUCCUGUAUCUCCCACCACCCCAACCUCCGACGACUCAGCCUAACACACCAUCGUCAGUGUGCUCACUGUCUUCCCGAUUCCGGAAAACAAAUGAAAAGAACUUGGAUUAGAAAAGAACGGAAAAAAAAUCAAGCAAGCAAAGCAAAGGUGGACUCCAGAAUCAUCAGGAGGAAGAAAAAGACAUGAGAUAAAUUUCUUUGGACUAAUUGAAAGCAGAACACUGUGUAAUUCCACUCCACCUAUGAAGAAAAUUCAACUAACUCUGGGAGAUGCAACUCACCUUCUCGAUUUAGAGAAAACUGUUAAUCUCAGAACUUUUGAAAACUUCUUACAAAAAUCAACCAGUGAACCUAAAUUCAGUAUGAUUCCGUCAGCUUGUUGAAUGAUACAUCACUUUCUGUAAAGGCAUUUUUUUUAACCAAAUAACUGACUUUUACUCUUGCGCAACCUACUGACUCCUGAUUCUGCCUAACCUCUAACUCAAAUAGCAAAUCCAAUACGACUAAGACUAAUUGUUUUUAAUACGUCAAUAAAAGAGAAAUUCAACUCAUUCAGUCCAUCAUAUUUAAAAGCCCAUUAAAUCUUUAUCUAUCCAUCUAAGAUUUUUUCAGGAUCUUGCUCUCCAUCAUCUAAAUGUAGCUGUGUGAAGGUCAUAAAAAAAUUAACUAUUAUUGAUCUAUAUUCAAAUUCUUAUUCUCAAAAGAAGAGUGUUACACCAAAUACACUUUUAAAAUUUUAUCUUAUCAUGAGUCAUUGACCUUUGAUACCCUGCAUUUUAUAAUGUCCUGGUUCUUCUUCCAAUUUUGAUCUUACAACUGCUUAUAAUAGAGAGCCAACAAAAAGAGAGUAUUAAUACUGAAAGGGUCUCAGCCUGAAAUAUUGUUUGUUUACACUUUUCUAUAGAUACUGCCUGGUCUGCUAAGUUCCUCCAGCAUUUUGUGUGUGCUGCAUUAAUACUAUUAUGUUAGUUUAAAUCUCUUUCAUGUUACAAAUUUUCUCACACUUAAUACAUAAAUUUUACUUUCAUGC